rnacentral:tRNA from 2 species
UGGGCUAUCGCCAAGCGGUAAGGCACAGGACUUUGACUUCUGCAUUCGUUGGUUCAAAUCCAACUGGCCCAG